GGGUUGCGGACAGUGUCUGGUGGGUAGUUUGACUGGGGCGGUCUCCUCCUAAAGAGUAACGGAGGAGCACGAAGGUUGGCUAAUCCUGGUCGGACAUCAGGAGGUUAGUGCAAUGGCAUAAGCCAGCUUGACUGCGAGCGUGACGGCGCGAGCAGGUGCGAAAGCAGGUCAUAGUGAUCCGGUGGUUCUGAAUGGAAGGGCCAUCGCUCAACGGAUAAAAGGUACUCCGGGGAUAACAGGCUGAUACCGCCCAAGAGUUCAUAUCGACGGCGGUGUUUGGCACCUCGAUGUCGGCUCAUCACAUCCUGGGGCUGAAGUAGGUCCCAAGGGUAUGGCUGUUCGCCAUUUAAAGUGGUACGCGAGCUGGGUUUAGAACGUCGUGAGACAGUUCGGUCCCUAUCUGCCGUGGGCGCUGGAGAACUGAGGGGGGCUGCUCCUAGUACGAGAGGACCGGAGUGGACGCAUCACUGGUGUUCGGGUUGUCAUGCCAAUGGCACUGCCCGGUAGCUAAAUGCGGAAGAGAUAAGUGCUGAAAGCAUCUAAGCACGAAACUUGCCCCGAGAUGAGUUCUCCCUGACUCCUUGAGAGUCCUGAAGGAACGUUGAAGACGACGACGUUGAUAGGCCGGGUGUGUAAGCGCAGCGAUGCGUUGAGCUAACCGGUACUAAUGAACCGUGAGGCUUAACCUUACAACGCCGAAG
rnacentral:rRNA from 2 species